GUGCUUCAUCAGUAUGUAUACUAAAAUUGGAACCACACAUUAGGAUGGACCCUGUACAAGGAUGACAUGAAAACUCAUGAAUUAUUCAAUAUAUUU
rnacentral:snRNA from 1 species